AAAGGAGGCGAGGCGACCGCGGCGCGGCCGAGUGUACUCGGUGCGUGCUGAGGAAAGUCCGGGCUCCCCCAUGGCCAGGCCUGCUGGGUAACGCCCAGUGCGGGUGACCGUGAGGAUAGUGCCACAGAAACACACCGCCGAUGGCCGCAGCCCUUGCCCAGGCAUUGGCUCAGGCACAGGCAAGGGUGCAAAGGUGCGGUAAGAGCGCACCAGCAGCAUCGAGAGGUGCUGGCUCGGUAAACCCCAGCCGGGAGCAAGGCCAAGGAACCAGGGCUGGCCAUGUGCCUGUUCCCCACAAACAUGCCGCUUGAGGCCUGUGGUAAUACAGGUCCCAGAGAGAUGGUCGCCCCUGGAGAGGGAACCAUGCCAUGGAGACCUCCCCAGGAACAGAACCCGGCUUAUGUCCUCCUUUCCAC
rnacentral:RNase_P_RNA from 1 species